rnacentral:rRNA from 1 species
UACGUAGGGUCCGAGCGUUGUCCGGAAUUACUGGGCGUAAAGAGCUCGUAGGCGGUGUGUCGCGUCGGCCGUGAAAACCUGCAGCUUAACUGUGGGCGUGCGGUCGAUACGGGCAUCACUGGAGUUCGGCAGGGGAGACUGGAAUUCCUGGUGUAGCGGUGAAAUGCGCAGAUAUCAGGAGGAACACCGGUGGCGAAGGCGGGUCUCUGGGCCGAUACUGACGCUGAGGAGCGAAAGCAUGGGGAGCGAACAGG